GACGAACGCUGGCGGCGGGCCUAAUACAUGCAAGUAGGACGCAGUUGCGAACGUGUGAGUAACGCGUAGGUAACUACCUAUUAGAGGGGGAUAACUAUUGGAAACGAUAGCUAAUACCGCAUACUAGUAGAUGUACCUGCGUUGUAUUUGAUAGGAGGUAGGGUAAUGGCCUACCUAGGCAACGAUACAUAGCCGACCGUGAGGGGUGAUCGACCACAAUUGGACUGAGACACGGCCCCGACUCCUACGGGAGGCAGCAGUAGGGAAUCUUCGGCAAUGGGGCGAACCCUGACCGCGCAACGCCGCGUGAGUGAAGAAGGUUUUCGGAUCGUAAAGCUCUGUUGUUAAGGAAGCGGUACUUAACCAGAAAGGGACGGCUAACUACGUGCCAGCCGCCGCGGUAAUUC
rnacentral:rRNA from 1 species